GGCCACGUUCACCCCCAAGACCUGUUCUCUCACAUCCUCUGUCCCUGCCCAGACCCUGUCCGGGGCACUGGUCCCAGAGGCGAGGAGAUGAUAAUGACGGUGACAGUGAUGGUGAUGAUGGUCCUGAUGGUGACAGGGAUGGUGAUGGCGAUGGUGACUAAUACUCGGCUCUCACUCUGUGCCCCAGUCCUCAGCACUCAGCAGAUGACACUUCAUUUAGCCCUUACAGCAACCCCGGGAGAAGAAAGGGACGGGGCAAGCAGGAGAGGGGUCAGGCAGCUCCAGAGACCCGGCUGUCUGCACAGAAGGGAGAGCAGAACUGACGACCCCGAGAAGAGAGGCAGACCCAGCUCCCUUCCGAGUCGAAGCAGAAGCAACAGGGCGGCAUCCUUGAGAAGAGGACGACCUUCUUUGGGGCCUGCCCACAGAGCCACCCUGCCUUCCCAGGGGGAAGGAGGCGUGGUGGUUCCUGCAGGAUAUACGUGCCCGAAGCACUCACCGUCCACCGCACGUUUAAUGAACUCGCAAUAUUCCCUCCUCUCCUCUCCCCCUCGAGCAAAGCUUUCUGGCUGCAGGAGCGGGUAGUGAACCACCCCCCACAAAGAAGAGAAGAUGGCCAGGAUGUCUGGAGCCCAGAAUGUUUCUGGGAGCUUCUCAAGAAACCAGGAACGUUGGUCCUCCCAGGAAGGAAAGCCAGGUCAGGAAGGGGCAGGGAGAAUGUUUUUUCACUGUAGACCCCACUUGUACCACCGGCACGUACGUCCUGCCCCAAAAUAAAUGAACUCGGUUAAAACUUUUUUAAAAAAACAUAUGAAAAGAGCGGCGCCUCCGUGGCUCAGUCGGUGAAGCUUCUGACUCUCGAUUUCGGCUCAGGUCGGGAUCUCACAGUUCGCGGGAUCGAGCCCCGGGUCGGGCUCUGUGCUGAGUCUGCUCCGACCAGUGCGGAGCCUGCUUGGGAUUCGCUCUCUCCUCCCUCUGCCCCCUCCCCCAGCGAGUAAAUAAAGAAACUUUUUUUUUUUAAAUAAAAUCAAAAUAAAAACACAUAUAAAGAGAAAAGACAUC